rnacentral:rRNA from 1 species
GGAUGCGAUCAAUACCACCUAAUGCACCGGAUCCCAUCAGAACUCCGAAGUUAAGCGUGCUUGGGCGAGAGUAGUACUAGGAAUGGUGACCCCUGGGAAGUCCUCGUGUUGCAUCCC